GAUGAACGCUGGCGGCGUGCCUAAUACAUGCAAGUCGAGCGAACAGAUGAGGAGCUUGCUCCUCUGACGUUAGCGGCGGACGGGUGAGUAACACGUGGAUAACCUACCUAUAAGACUGGGAUAACUUCGGGAAACCGGAGCUAAUACCGGAUAAUAUAUUGAACCGCAUGGUUCAAUAGUGAAAGACGGUUUUGCUGUCACUUAUAGAUGGAUCCGCGCCGCAUUAGCUAGUUGGUAAGGUAACGGCUUACCAAGGCAACGAUGCGUAGCCGACCUGAGAGGGUGAUCGGCCACACUGGAACUGAGACACGGUCCAGACUCCUACGGGAGGCAGCAGUAGGGAAUCUUCCGCAAUGGGCGAAAGCCUGACGGAGCAACGCCGCGUGAGUGAUGAAGGUCGUCGGAUCGUAAAACUCUGUUAUUAGGGAAGAACAAAUGUGUAAGUAACUAUGCACGUCUUGACGGUACCUAAUCAGAAAGCCACGGCUAACUACGUG
rnacentral:rRNA from 1 species